CAGGGCCUACAACUUAAAAAAAUGAAACAGACUUGGCAGUAAUGGAAAUAUAAGAAAUAAUGGAGACUGAAGAUUUGGAAGUUAUGUACAUUAUCAAAUGGGAAAUGCUGGUAUUUCAGUUCCAACUAUGUAUUCCCAGUUUGUGAGAUAGGAUUCCUGUAGGAACAUGAUGUGCGCAGACUCAGGUGUGGAAGACUGCAUGGUGGAGUUCCAAAGGAUCUAGCUGCAAGGAGAAGGCCUGGAGCUCACCACAGUGUCCUGUGAGAAUCUGCAUCAGGAGGCUGGAGGGCCUGCACUGCAAGACUGAAGUAUCUAUGCUGGAAGCCAGGAGAUGGACAUCCCAGGUGAAGGCGAACCCUGGAGCUCCUCUGAAGAAACAAAAGAGUCAUUUGAGUGAUGCAGAAGACAGUAAGACAAAGCAUCAAAUUUCUUAAUCUUGCAGUAUAUAAAGAUGAAGGAUAUCACCCAUGUCCGUAAGAUGUUUAGAAGAUAGAGGUGAGAUGGAUCUACAAUGACUAAGGUAAAAGAAAAAUUUUGUACAUCAUGUGCAGUAGAACCAG
rnacentral:lncRNA from 1 species